rnacentral:rRNA from 1 species
GGCUCAGGAUGAACGCUGGCGGCGUGCCUAAUACAUGCAAGUCGAGCGAACAGACGAGGAGCUUGCUCCUCUGACGUUAGCGGCGGACGGGUGAGUAACACGUGGAUAACCUACCUAUAAGACUGGGAUAACUUCGGGAAACCGGAGCUAAUACCGGAUAAUAUAUUGAACCGCAUGGUUCAAUAGUGAAAGACGGUUUUGCUGUCACUUAUAGAUGGAUCCGCGCCGCAUUAGCUAGUUGGUAAGGUAACGGCUUACCAAGGCAACGAUGCGUAGCCGACCUGAGAGGGUGAUCGGCCACACUGGAACUGAGACACGGUCCAGACUCCUACGGGAGGCAGCAGUAGGGAAUCUUCCGCAAUGGGCGAAAGCCUGACGGAGCAACGCCGCGUGAGUGAUGAAGGUCUUCGGAUCGUAAAACUCUGUUAUUAGGGAAGAACAAAUGUGUAAGUAACUAUGCACGUCUUGACGGUACCUAAUCAGAAAGCCACGGCUAACUACGUG